rnacentral:rRNA from 1 species
AGUGAACGCUGGCGGCGUGCUUAACACAUGCAAGUCGAACGAGAACGGAUUAUAGCUUGCUAUAAUUGUCAGCUAAGUGGCGCACGGGUGAGUAAUGUAUAGGUAAUAUGCCUCUUACUAAGGGAUAACAAAUGGAAACGUUUGCUAAUACCUUAUACUCCUUAUUAACAGAAGUUAAUAAGGGAAAGAUUUAUUGGUAAGAGAUUAGCCUGUAUUGUAUCAGUUAGUUGGUGGGGUAAUGGCCUACCAAGACUAUGACACAUAACUGGUUUGAGAGGAUGAUCAGUCACACUGGAACUGGGACACGGUCCAGACUCCUACGGGAGGCAGCAGUGGGGAAUAUUGCACAAUGGACGAAAGUCUGAUGCAGCAACGCCGCGUAGAGGAUGACACAUUUCGGUGCGUAAACUCCUUUUAUAUGAGAAGAUAAUGACGGUAUUAUAUGAAUAAGCACCGGCUAACUCCGUGCCAGCAGCCGCCGUAA